AAACAGGGGCCUUGGGGCACUCCUGCAUGGCGGUCCGCCUUCGGGGGUGCUUAGUCCUUGACUAUCACCUUGACUAUGCGUACCUUUGUUGUUUCCUCGGCAGGUCUCCUGCCAGUGGAACCCUCUACAACCCUUUUGCAACAGCAUUAAACUGAAACAAACCACAAUUAUUUACAACUUUCAACAAUGGAUCUCUUGGUUCUGGCAUCGAUGAAGAACGCAGCGAAAUGCGAUAAGUAGUGUGAAUUGCAGAAUUCAGUGAAUCAUCGAAUCUUUGAACGCACAUUGCGCCCCUCGGUAUUCCGUGGGGCAUGCCUGUUCGAGCGUCAUUUACCCCCUCAAGCUCUGCUUGGUGUUGGGCGCCUGUCCCGCCUCGUGCGCGGACUCGCCUAGAAGACAUUGGCAGCGGUCGUGCCAGCUUCUCGCGCAGCACAUUGCGCUUCUCGAGGCUCCGGCGGACCAGCGUCCAGCAAGUCCACCUCCAGUUUGACCUCGGAUCAGGUAGGGAUACCCGCUGAACUUAAGCAUAUCAAAAACCCGGAGGAAAGGAUCAUUACCUGGCCUUGGGCCACUCCUGCAUGGCGGUCACGCCUUCGGGGGUGCUUAGUCCUUGACUAUCACUUGACUAUGCGUACCUUUGUUGUUUCCUCGGCAGGUCUCCUGCCAGUGGAACCCUCUACAACCCUUUUGCAACAGCAUUAAACUGAAACAAACACAAUUAUUUACAACUUUCACAAUGGGAUCUCUUGGGUUCUGGCAUCGAUGAAAGAACGCAGCGAAAUGCGAUAAGAUAGUUGUGGAAUUUGCAGAAAUUCAGUGGAAUCAUCAAAUCUUUGUAACGCCAUUGCGCCCUCGGUUAUUCCGUGGGGGGCAUGCCUGUUUCGAGCGUCAUUUUACCCCCAGGCUUGCUUUGGUGGUUUGGGGCGCCCGGUCCCCCUCCUGGGCGGGAAUCCCCUAAGAAAAAAAUUUGGGCAGCGGGUUCGUGGCCGCCUUUUUCGCGCAACAACAAUUUGGCGGUUUUUUCUAAGGGUUCCCCCGGGGAACGACAACACCGGGGUCGGGGGAAAAUUCCCCCACCCUCCCUCCCUUGUUGGUUGACUCCCAUCACAAAAAAAGGGGAGAAAGGAAACAACCCGUCAAAAAAAAAUUA
rnacentral:misc_RNA from 1 species